rnacentral:rRNA from 1 species
CCUACGGGUGGCAGCAGUGGGGAAUAUUGGUCAAUGGGGGGAACCCUGAUCCAGCGACGCCGCGUGAGUGAUGAAGUAUCUCGGUAUGUUAAGCCUCAUUUGUAGGGAAGAAAAUGACGGUACGUGUCUCAGAAGCCCCGGCUUACUAAGUGCAAGCAGCCGCGGGGAUCCGGAGGGGGCCAGCGUUAUUCGGGUUUACUGGGUGUAAAGGGGGCGUAGGGGGUGCAGCAAGUCUGAUGGGAAAGGUCGGGGGCCAACCCCGGGACUGCAGUGGAAACUGUUGGACUUGAGUAGAGGAGAAGUAAGCGGAAUGCCUGGUGUAGCGGUGAAAUGCGUAGAUAUUAGGAAGAACUCCGAUUGCGAAGGCAGCUUACUGGACUGUAACUGACGUUGAGGCUCGAAAGCGUGGGGAGCAAACAGGAUUAGAUACCCCAGUAGUC